AUAUAUUUUUCACUCUGUAAUGAUGUCUACUGUUGGAUGCUUAGCAAUGUACUGUACGUCUCAUAGUCAUGCUAGUCAUGUUUGUUCUUAACAGUCAGAAGACGUUCAGCAUCUGGCUGGACUAGUGUUGUGUGGCACCUGAUCGAACCUGUCACUUGAAAUGCUUCCUUUUCAGAUUUAAAAUGUUGGUAAUCUUGUUUUGCUUUUGAUAGUUUUAACUUUUCAUUAUUCUAUUUAAGCCAUGACUUUUUCAUUUCAGAAAGAAAAACUUUUGUUCAGAAGAAAUUUGCGGUCAGAUAGGGAAAAACACCAUUCCAGACUAGGGUUGCAAACGAAUCGAGCGGCUCGAUUCAAGCUCGACUCGAGCUCGAUUAAUAUCGAGCUCGAGCUCGAACUUAGAAUAUUAAGCUCGUUAGGCUCGCGAGCUUGAGUAUGUAUAUAUAUAUUUUUUAUUUUUAUUUUUAUUUAAUAAUAAAAUUACGUAUAUUAUAUAUAUAUUUUUUUAUUUUUUAUUUUCAUAGUAAAAUUACGUAUAUAUCCUUAAUAUUUUAUUAUUUAUUAAGAAAAAAUAUUAUUUUAUUUAUUUUUUAAAAAAUAAAAUAAUUAUUUUUUAUUUUUUUCGAGCUCGAGCUCGAAAAUUGCCGGCUCGUCGAGCUCGAGCUUUGCCUGCUCGUCGAGCUCGAGCUCGGUAAAAUUUAGUCGAGACUCGGCUCGAUUAGCUCAAAGCUCAACUCGGCUCGACUCGUUUGCAACCCUAUUCCAGACUACUCGGCAUAUAGAAAUGCUGGUUCACACAAUACUACAGCGGUGCACUGCUUAUGAACCGUACUGCUACUUCUGACUUUAUACAUCUAUAAAAGUGUCUAAAUUUUGGCAAAAUCUAAGUUGAAAGGGCUGUAAUUCUAUUUCUCUGUCAUCUAUGUAAGUUUUGAUAUGGAGGCAGGAAUGGGGGUUCGUCAUUUUUCACUUGAUCGCUCCUGGGAUUUUGAAGAUGCUGCUCAAACUUUUGGUGCCUUCUACUGCCCAUUUCUGUAUCCUUCACGGUUUUCUGAAGUUGAAAUCUUAAGCUCACAGGUGAAGAAAGGUACAAGAGGGAUGCAAUUUAAAAUCUUGCUUUGUUCCUUUGGCUUGCAUUUGCUGCCUAGAGUACAUGGCAACAUCAACCUUAUGUAAUGGAGAAUUCGACAUAGACCAGAUGUUUCAAAUUAUUCAUUACUCGGUAGCAUCAGUUUCGACGAUUUGGUCCAAAGGCCCCUUUUUUCCUCCUUUUUGGGUGAGAAGCGGUUAGAAAACAUCGGCUUGAAGACAAAGAAGCGCAAUGCCAAGACAAAGGCCCAUAUUUAAAGCGGAUUUAAAUGUAAUAUGUCCAUGAUUUAUUGCUUGAAUGCUUGUUUGGGAACUUCAUUGGAUUUUUAGCUCAUUCCUUUAGUUUGUUUUCCUUAUAGGAGUGGAGGUCCAGAGCAAAUAAAGCGUGAACUCGGGUGUAUGACCCUCUUGUACUUGUACCUUUGGUAGAUAGAAUGUACUUUGGAUAUUUGAUGUUGUAUCUUACAUUUCACUUUCGGAUUGUAAUUAAGCUUGAAUGAUUGGUUGAAUUGUAAAACUUAAAUGUUAUUUUGGAGGCCUGAACGGUUAUUUUGAGAAUUGAUUGAAGUGAAUGUAGUGAGUCCUGGUGCGAGCUGAACAGGCGGUCCGCCAAACCCUUGGGUUCGCCCUAGGGGGAGGUGGGGCCGUCACACAUGUGACAAGAGUGACAUUUCUCCUAUCACUUUACUCCUUGUAUUGAUUCUAAUAUUUGGUUAUAAUACAAGUUUGGUUCUUGUUUUCAUGUCUUUCAUGUUUUGCUAGUUUUUAUACCUAGGGAAUGGAUGAACUUCUAUAAUUGUUAAGCGAAAUUUUCAUGGUUAUUUAAGCUUAUUUCUUGAGCAUGUUAUUUAACACUUUUGCUUAUCUAAUCAUGAUUAACUUGGAUCCGUUAGUUGUGAUUAUCUAAAGGUGUUGUUCCAUUAAUAAUCAUUGUGAUCUAACACUAGUUCAUGGAAGUGUUUGACCUAGGGAGUUAACUCACUAAUGUAGAGUUACACCUUUGUGGUUUUGGUGGCUUGUUCCAUGUAAUUUUAUAGAAUUUAAUGAAUCUAUAACAAGUAUCAUAUCAUGGUAGUAGGUGCGAAAUAGUUAUAAAUAUGGUUGAUACAUCGACAAAAACGUGUAUCACAUAUAUUUGAAAAUUAAGUCAUAACUAGCCAAGAUAAUGAACACAUUUAACCAUUAUUUCAUUUGCAUGAAUAGAUAGGAAUUCCAUAACCCUAGGCACUUUUCCUUAUCAAUUUUACUACUUUUAUUGUAUGUUAGUAGUGUAGAUUUAUUUGCUUUAUUUGUAAUAGUCUAAAUAAUAGAGGAGUUCAAAAAUCACCAAUAGUUGACAAUCUUCCAUGUGGGAUCGACCCUAAUUAUCACUAUACUCAUUUGAUCCGUAUACUUGCAAAACAUCGAGGUAAUUGGGUUUAAUUGAUUUGAUAAUUAGGAAUUUAUAACUUGAAAGCCUAAGUCACAUCACAAAACAUCACCAACUUCUAAGUCACAUGGAAUGAUUGUAAUUCGAAUGGUGAAGUUGAAGAAUUAUAUGAAAGAAAUCAAAUGGCAUUUAUGGUCAUUAGUAUACCUGGCAAUUGACGGGUUGGGCGGAUUUUGGAAGAAUUGAUGUUGGGUUUUCAUUUAAAUGGGUUACACCCAACCCACCCAACUUUAGAUUGGGUUAAUUUUGGGUUGGGUCAUAUUGGGUUACCUCAAAUCCAUGACCCCACUAUGACCCAAUAUAUUAAAUAAUAGAUUUUGAUACAUAAACUCUUUCAAAUAUAUUUUCACAUACAAAAAAAAAUUCACACACAUAAAUACAGUUUCACAUAAAUAAAUAUAUUUUCACACACUAAAACACUCACAAAUACAAACACAAACUCACUUUUUAAGUUCUUUUGAAAUAUGUUAUUUUUACACAUACAAACACACUAAAAUACACACUAAUAUACUUUCACAAAUACACACAUAUACUAACUGUUUAAACUACUUGGACCCAAUCACACUUUAAAGAAAGUUAUAAACUGAAAUUUUGACCCAAAAAAUAAACACAAAAGAAUCAUGCAUGAUAACACAUCUAAGCCAUUGUAAAAUGGAGAAAUUAGAAACAUCUAAACAAUGCACACAUUAAAGCGCGUGUAUCUCCACUUGGGCUGCCAUUGGAUUUGUAUUGUGUAGCAAUUGGACGCCGUUAUGAUCUUAUGUUCCCAGUGCUCACAACUCACAAACACCAACAUUUAAUAGUCAUUAAGUUGCAUCCCAUCGAGCCAUUACAAGAAUUUAGCCACAUGAGAUUCCCGCUUGCUAAAAGCCGACUUGCGGAUAUGAUUUUGUUGGAUGGUCAAGAUUUAGGCAAGUUAUCGUGCACUGGGGUUACACCUGAUUAUACGAUCUGUGGGGCCCCAUAUAUUAGGAAAGUCGUUGACUUAAUAGAUCAACUCCUGCGUGCAUGAUCAUGCAUUUUGUGUUUUAUUUGUUUAUUUAUUUUUUUAAUUUAAGUUGGGUAAUGGGUGCCCAACACAAAUAUCCAAACCGCCUAAAAUAUAUAUGGGUUUUUAUUACCCAAUCCAAAAUUGACCCAAUACCCAACUUACCCAACCCAACUUCUCAAAUUAGUGGGUGGGUUGGGUGGGUUAUUGGAUUUUGGGCAUAAUUGCCAGGUCUAAUCAUUAGAGAUGAUGAGGUAUCUUCUAACUAUUUCUCUAAUGAUGAUUAUAUUGAGACAUUUAUGAUUAAAUUGCAUGAUAGCUUGCGAGAAUCUUCGCUAAGAAUAAGGUAUUGAAAAUCAAAAUAAACAUUUUGUUGAAUGAGAAUUCUGAACUUUUUCAAGAAAAUAAGAGAUUGAUAAACAAAAUUAUGAUUUGAAGAAAAAUGGAGUUGACUCUAUUUUCAAAAUGGAUGAUUGGAAAAGGAAGUUGGAUGAAAAAACAAGAUUUUAUGAAAAUAUUAAGGAAAAACAAACAUUAUUGAGACUAAGAAUAAAUUAUCUAAAUAUUUUCCUUCAAAAUGAGAAGCAAAAUAGUUUAGAAAAAACAUGUAAAGAACUCAAGUAUUAGCAAUCAUGUUACACUGUUUAGACGGAAUGAGUUUUAUCUUAUAAAAUCUUCUCAUGUUAGAAAUCAUGAUAUUAUGUGCAAUUAUUGUUGUCAAUAUGGUCAUAUGAAGAAUGAUUGUUUUGUAAAAAGAAAUGUGAAAUUAGAAAUGAAGGCCAUUUGGGUAUUGAAGGAUACAACUAACCCUAGAGACCCAAGAACAAAUGGGUACCAAAAGUGAGUUCUUUUGUGUAGGUAUCAAGAGGAAAUUAAUCCAAGUCAAACUUGAAAGAUGAUACAAAAUGUCACUUGAAGUCAAUAGAACAAAAAGUUUGAAGCUUGAAAAAGUGUAAAAGGAAAAGAUAAAGCAUGCAUCUACUUUAGACAAUGAGGAUGAUAACCAAUAUAAGUAAGAUGGAAUGCUACUGAGGUAUGCUUUUAAAAUUUAACUUUCUUACCUCAAAUUGUUUUUUAGGCAAAUGGGUGAUAUUUGAAUGCUUGAUUGAUGUUAUCCCAAUUUGCACUCUUAUGAGAAUGGAACACAUGGGUUUAAAGUGCCUAAUUGUUUUGAAAUUCCAGUCAUAUAUAUCCUAUGUGUAUAUAUAUUUCAAAAUGAUGAAUUUGGAUAUAUAAAUGCUUGAUUAUGGUAACCCCCAAUUUUUUAAGAGCAAAUUAUCUGAAUGGCCACUAAACUUUUGAAAUUAUUGAGUUUUUGCCAUUGAACAAUUAAAAGUCUAGUUUUAGCCACUAACUAUCUAAAAUUUGAUUUCCGGCUUUUCAAUCAAAUUUGAUUAUUAACUAUGCCAGAUCUGAGUGCUCACAUGAUUCACGAGACAAAGAAAAUGAUCAUAAUUAAUGAUUAAAUCUGAUGGAAUGGUCGAAAAUCUAAACUUUAGAAGUUCAGUGGUUAAAACCAGAUUUUUAAUAGUUCAGUGGCCGAAACUCGAUGAUUCUAAAAGUUUAGUGGUCAUCUGGAUAAAUUGCUCAUUUUUUAAGUAUGUUUCUGACUGGUAGAAAAAAGGAGAAAAUCUUAUAUGCAAUCUUGCCAUGAGCCUUGUGUGAGGACUUGUAAAAUUCCUUAUAUUUUUCUUAAAAUUCCAUUUAAUUUGGAAUUUAUUACUUUACAAUAGCUUUACUACACAUUCACUUCCUCAAUAGUUACAAAUAAUCAUAGAACCAAGGGUUUCUUCUUUACUUUCAUCGUUAAGAUAAACUAGGAUUUUUACGUCUUUUCAUAGUGUGAGUAAUCGGUACGGAGUGUGUACUAAAUUUGGUGAUUAAGAGUGAGUUUUAGAUAAGAAAAAGUGUGUGAUUAGAAGUAAUAAUAAUAAGUUAGAGAAUGGUAAGUGAAAACCCUAGUAUGUGCGAGUUAAGGAAAAACAGUGUGAACCGACGGGUACCGUUUGUUACCGAGUGAACACACCACUUGACCACUACUUUAUUAACUUAAUCUCAUUGUUAUUAGUGCAUAAAUAUCAGUCCCUAAUCAGCUCAAGAGGGCCAAAAAUUUUGACUAAUAAAACCAAGGAAAAGAAGAAAAAUUCAAGCUGUGAUCUUGUGAUGACACUUGGAAGUCAUCCAACUAUCUUUGACCAAACUCAAGUCCUAGCUUCUUAUCUUUCUUGGACUUCAUUCUUCCUUCAUUUUUCAUCCAUGGUGGCCGAACCUAAGGGAGAAAAAAAGAGAGAAGAAGACUUCAUUUCCAUCUUGAGUUUUAGCUUAGUUUGAGUGAAAUCCAAAAAACCAAACCGAUUAAACACUUACUUAGGAACCUAGAAAGCUUUGUGUGCUAAAGUUUCACAAGGAAAGGUGGUGGAUUUCUCUUACAAGAAUUUUAGUGAGGUAUUAUGGCUGUCCUUCCUAUUUCUUUCCCUUAAUCUUGCUUAAGUUUGUAUAGCAACUUAUAUUCUUGGCUAAUGAUAGUUGUUUAAGUAGUUUUGAUGGUUAUGGUGGAUUUUUGAGCUAGGAUUUGAGUUGUUCAGUUGUGUUUCUUGUUGAUUAUAUAGCAUAUGAUGUUAAUAAUCUUAGAUAGGAAGUUGGAGUAGUGGUUCAAGACAUGAAUAAGAAGUUUAUACCUUGAAUGCAUUAAAUUCCAGUUUUAAGCAUUGAACUGCCCUGCUUCUGACCAGCAUCAUUCGUCCAUGUUGGAGGCUGAAUCAGGCUUAUGUCAAAACAUGAAAGUUGUAGAAAAUGAUGUUAUAUAGCUUCCUGUAAAAUUUUAGCUCAAUCGGAGUACUGUAGCUUAUGAAAUAACUGAAAUACCCCUAACUGCCAAAUGUUCUUUUCAGCAGGCAGUUUUGAGAUUUCACAUGUUUGGCUUCAUUUUUCACUUUGAUCCGUAUCAAAUCAGCAUUUGGCCAAAACAUGAAAGUUUUAAGCCUAUGUUUCAGCUUUCCAAAAAAUCUAAAAAUGCCUCAAUCGGAAUUGUGUAGCUUGAGUUAUUACCGUUUGAAUUCAGUACUGACAACUAGACUGACCAUGAACUUCUGGUUCUGUAAUUUGCAAAUUCGACCUAGAUCAACUGUUAACUGGGUUGGGUUGUCUUCAUAAAAGUUUUAACCCUUUGUCUUAGUUUCAAAACGGUAUAAGAUGUACCCCAAUCUGAUAAGUGUAGCUUCGGUUGUGACCAAAACGCUAAGAGACGUCAAACCUGUGAUUUUGUUAAUUGUCUUAAACAUUAGUUCCGGUCGAUUUUCUAGCAUUGUUUUGUAAUUGAAUGACAUUGAGCCUAUUGAAAGGCUAUUGUGGUUAGAUUAUUUGUGUGUAAUUUUGGGGCUGAAUUGAGGAAAAUAAUGAAGCCAUAAAUGGCUGGGAAAAUAGAUAAACACAAAGGGCGUGCUACCCAAAUUUGCAAUCGAGGGCUAGGUAGAUGUACUCGCGACUUGAGUAAGGGUUUGAGAACGACUUCACUUGAAUCGUUUAGAAUAUUCAAGCCUUCUUUCAUAAAGGUAUAUAAGUUAGAAUUCGGCUGAAACUUGUAUCUUUGGAAAAAUGAAAUUAACGACUAAUAGAAAUACGUUUUCCUCAUUUCUUCGACUCAAAUGGUAUUUCAAAGUAUAAUUUCUUCAACUCAAAUGGUAUUUCAAAGUAUAAUUGCUUCAAAGUUUCACAGUUUGAAAAGCGAGCAAGAGUUUUACGAAUAUUCUCUAAAUGAGUUUCAAUUACUUGAUUCUCGUUAAAUGAAACGUUUAAGUUUCGAACCUUAGUUAAUUUUCAAAACUCUUAAAUAAUGUUUUAUCGCAGAUUUGGACUCCAAACACGGAGUAAUACCCGAACGUGACCCGUAAAAACACUACAUCUUUGGUGAGUGCUUCCAAAUACCUGAUUGCACUUGACACUUGUGUUUAAUACUUGAACAAUAUGAUUACAUGAUAUAUGAGUGGAUUGAUAGGGCAAGCGUGUACUUUAUUGCACUUGCUCUAAUGUGAUUUGUUCUUGGUCAUUGAUUUCAGUUGAAUUGAUAUACAUGCAUAUGAAUUGUAUCUUGUCUGGAAUUCUAGAAACCCUAUGGCUAGUUAAUCGAGUCGAGCCGGCAAGGGCCUGGUCGAUUAGAUAACGAACCCGGGUAGUUAGUGUUGUCGAGUGGAGUGUUAUCUUCUCGACUAAUCGGUAUACUCGAGUAUUACCACCAGUGUUUACCUUGGAGUUUGGGCCCGGUAAGGGGUCUGGUUGGUGGACGGAGAUUGGAGUUAAGUGGUGUACUACUGGACUAGUUACCUUACUUGAAAGUUGACGGAGUGUCAACUACUAUUUGAUCAAGAUAUGGUGGUACUGGUUUCCCAAGGCAACUGUAUCCUUUUACAUGAAAUACUAAAUAUGAAAUGUUGGCUAUACAAAGUGUAUUGCUCAUUUUCUUGACUUGUUAUGCUCGCUAUUUCACUAUUCUGUUACAUUCACUGUUAAUUAAUGGUCAAUUUGCUAUUUGGAACAUCACUGAGUUUUAGCUCACUCCGUUAGUUUUGUUUUCCUUACAGGGGAUACGAGCGAGACGUGAGACGUGUACAGACUAGCGUAGUCUAGUUGUUUUGACUUUUGAAAUUAUACUCACGCUAGCACCCGACUAGGGUUGUUUGUACUUGAAUUGUAUACACUUUAAAGUAUUUUGGUGUAUAGAACCCUUGUAUCUGGGUUUGAACAUCAAUGUAUAUAUCAAGUUUGAAUUUGUGGUGUUAUUUAGUUUCUCUGUAUGUAAGUUAUAUUCUUGAACUACGAGUGAGUGAGUCCUGACGAGAGUUGGGCAGGCGACUCGCUAAACCCUAGGGUACACCCUAGGGGGAGGUGGGGUCGUCACACCUUGUGUACUAUGCUAGUUACCUAAUUUUGACAAAGUUUAACCACUAGGUAUAAUGUAUUUCUUAAUCUAAGUGUGAGAGUAUUCAAUCAUAACUUAGUUAAAUCUAACAAAUUAUUUUGUUCAAGUAAAAUGAUUGUGAUGUUAUUUGUUAUCUUUAUACUUAAAUGCUAUAUCUAUCUAUAUUGACAUCAUAAAAGAAAAUAAAUUAGGUACUCAUCUAAUGUUCUUCAUAUUUUCAUUCAUGAUUAUGUUUUUAUCCUCAUAAUAAAUAAGGUAGUUGCAUCACAUGUGCUUAUACUCUUGUUUUGAUCAACUCUUAUUUUGAUGAUACUUUUACAUACCUCUUGGUGCCUAUUUAUAUUUUUUAAAUAUAAAAAUAAUCUUUUACGUGAUUCCCUUAUAUGUAUUUGUUAAUAUGCAUUUGAAGAAAAAUAACUCCUUGAAUGUAAUUCAUCUCCUUGUACUUGUUUGAUUUACAUGGUUAUUUUAAGGGGGAGAUAUUUCAUGAGAAUGAUGAUGAAAAUUAAUAUGGCCUUGAUCUUAGGGAGAGUUUCUUGUAAUUUUUUCUUCAUGUACAAUGUCCCUUUAUACUUAUUUGUUUUUGAUGAUGUCAAAAGGGGGAUAAGAUUGAAUGAUUUCUUUAAAUAAUGGGCUUGAAAUUAGGGGGAGUUUAUUUGAGUUUAGUUCAUCAAAGAAAUCAUCAUUUUAUUUGUCAUUAUCAAAAAGAGGGAGAUUGAAAAUUUAGAUUGACCAAUCCUUAGUUUUGAUGAUAGGAAAAUAAAAUGAUGAUUUGGACUAAUAAUUUUAUGUGAGAAUUUUGUUAGCAUCUUAGCCCAUUAGAAAAAGAAGGAAACCAAAUCAAUAAGCAAUGAAGAAUGAGAUUGGUCAAGAUAACAUAUUCCAAUACUUCGACUAUAAUAUGAAUUAUGGGCAUUGGAUUGAGAUGAUUCUUGAAACAUUGCAAAACUAAGAAAAGAGCUACAAUUGUUAAGAGUCAACAAAUUCCAAUUCUCAUGUUUUCUUAUCCAAAAAUUCAAAUUUCAAGAGUAUUUUUCUGUGGCUAUAAUUUGAAGUAGUCUUCCAACUAGUUAAGGGUAAUUUGGUCAUAACUCAUUUUUCAGUUCUCCAAAUGACUUGCUAUCCAUUGGAAAGCUAACUCAUUUGGCUACAACUUUUGUGUUUUGUAUAACAGUUGAAUUGAAGUGCUUAAUUGAGAUGUUUGAGUUAAAAUUUGGCUGGCCUGUUUGCAGUGGGCAUUGUAGUAUUUGACUAUCGGACGUCCAAACCAAGGAACCUAUGUUCGAACCAACUGUCCAACAAAAAAUUGGACAUCUGAUGCAUAGGAUAGGACGUAUGAUAGCUCCAGCAACUAGUUUUUUAAUAGUUAGUUUUUUAACCGUUGGAGAGGCUUUUGGAGUAAAAUUUCACCACCUAUAAAUGCCUCCAACCACGAGAAGAAGAGAGACUUUUGCCUAUGCAAAAUACAAGCUUUCAAGAGUGAUAUUUGGAUAGAAAUAUACUUUGAUUAUUGUAUAUAUGUGGGAAAAGUUGGGUUUGUGAGGUUUCUCAAAGAGGGGAAGUAAGAUCUUUGUGAAGGUGACCCUCACCUAUAAAGUAAUUUUUAAUUGGUUGGGUGAACUUUCAAUUGUAGCUAGUUGAGGGAUAAGUAGGAGAACUGUAAAACUCUUUGACUCAACUGAAGGGUUUUAGAGUGAGAAAAGAGUGAGUCUUCACUUGUGCAAGUUAGUUAGCAUUACCGUUAAUUGAAGAAGUCACUUGGUUGAUUCAACUUUGGGUUUGUUGACUCAACAAAACUUAGAAGUUUGUUGGUUUGCAUUUCUAUCUUUUACCUUUUUUUUUUGACUACUUAAUUGUGCAAUCUUUAUUGAGUUUCAUUGAAUUAAUUGAGUCAUUUGUUAUAUCUUUAUGAAUUUCAUUUGAAACAUUUUUAUUGGGUGAAAUUUUGGCUUUUACUUGGUUAAAUUUUUAUCAACAUAAUUCAUCGCCCCUCUUAAUUUGUUUUGGGCCUUAUAUAGACAUUAUGCUUUUCUCUUCUUCAAAAUUUUUAGCUUUCUUUUAUACUAUGAGUAUUUUUAUGAUUUACGAUUUUUAUUCAAAUAUUUAGUUUCAUGGAAUCAAACUUUUUUCCUUCCCUUUUAAACUAUAAGUCUCUUUAAUUCUUUUAUUUGCAUUUAUUUCAAUAAAAAGUUUUUUGCUAAUAAAUUUUUCAUUUUUUUAAUUCUUUCAGUGUUUAAUUUUAUUCUUCUUUAAUUCAAAAUUAAAAUUUCACUCAUCAAAAUUUGUUUUGUUACUUUUGUACUAUGAUUGUUUAUAAUUUUCUUAACAAUUAUCUAUAUAUUAAAAUUUUCAUUUAUCAAAAUUUUUUCCUUCCUUUUUAUAUAUAUGUCUUUCUGUUUUCUUUUUUUUUCGUUUAUAUAUUAAGGUUUACACUCAUCAAAAUUUUUUCACUUUGUAUCAUAAGUCCUUUCAUUUUUAUUGAUUUUAAGCUUUUUCCUUUUAUCUAUACUAUAAGUUUGUCAUUCAUGUUUAGACUUACCCUUCAUGAAAGAUAAUUUGGUCAACAGAAUCUCAAUUGAACGAUAGCAUAGACUUUCUUUUUCUCAAACAAAUGGUUUGUUUGGAUUGUAAGUUAUUUGAGAUAUUUUUACUGUAGCACUUUUUGUGAUGUGAUGUAUGUGAAAUAAAAAGGUAAUUGGGAAGAUAAAAAGGUGUAUUGAAAAUUGUAAUGAUGAUGUAAGCAAAUAUAUUUGGGGAAAUAAUCAGCUGUCCAAACAAAUCCAUUUGCGACUCAAAUUCAAAACGACAAAGAGUCUAUUGUUGCCAUUCAUGCGGACAAAGUGCCGGUGACCGCCACAUUCUGGGGGCAAACAGCAAUUAACCCUUGCAUUUAUUACCACACUCCAAGAAUUCAAAUUUCAAAAUUUGAUAAGCGUUUACGAGUUUCCACCCCGAAGAGAAAAAAAAAAAAAAAUGGCAAAGCUGCUUAAAAACCGAUGUUAGAGGUGAAUCUUUACCCUUCUUCUUAGCUCAGUCAGAUACUCUCAUUUCCCCUACGACGUCGUCUAACUCGAGCAUCCACCACCACACCUCGCCUACCCAGAAGGUAAAGCUCCGUUCUUCCUUCUUCCUUGUGUUAUUUCCGGUCAUAUUUCUACUGGGUUCUUUGUUUUUGUUUUCCUUUUUCUUCUUGGUUAGGCUUUUCUCGUUCUUGUUUAGUUUGCCCUGUUUCUCCCAAAUAUUUCUGAUAUUGAUCUUGAAUGAUAAAAUGAAUGAAAUAAAACUGCUGUGUUGCUUGUUAUUUUCACUUAAAAACUAAUGAAAAAGAAGAAACGUAUGUAUUUAUUGGUUUAUAUAGUAUAAGAAUAUUGAAUUUCUUGUGAUUUUAUCAAAUAGAAGGCAAGGAGUUUGGCCUGUGGUAUGUGAAGGAAUUCUUUAUAGAAAUGUUCCCAUUUUCUCUGCAUAGGUUUAAAGUGAUUUUUUAAAUGAUUCCUUAAAUGGUAGGGACUGUAGUGAGGUAUUAUGGGUUUGUAUUGUUAUUAAACUGAAGUUUGAGUUUUGAUGUCAGAUGUAGAAUUUGUUGCGGUAAUUAUCAAAAUUUUUAGCUAGAAGGAUUUUCAAAGUUUUGGUGAUUGUGGAGGAGUAUGGAUGCCAGUGGACCAGCAAACACGGUAAGAAAGAGAUAUUUAAGAUGAAUUUAAGACUACUGCUCGUUUAAUGUUUUUGAAAUGAAAAGAAUGGACGUUUUUUGAAUUUUGAGUUUUAAAGGGUUUUCUGAAUAAGAGUUCCAUGUAUGUUGUAUCUGAAAUUAGUAUAGGAGCAGAAAAGAGUGCGAUGAAGCUGACUAAACUCUGACAAUUUUAGUAUCCAUGUCAUGUGUAUCAUUGUAAGUGGUGAUGAAGUGACUGACAUUCAAAUAAGAAAGGCUGCAAACUAUGAGUUGUCCCAAGUUGUUAUUAUGUUGUUUUUCUAUUGAAUCUUGAAUUAGCUCAAGUUUCUAACACUGACCAUUCUUUUGUACAAUGUAAUUGACUGAUGCUCCAUCCGUCUGAGUUGUGAAUCUUGGUACAAACUUAAACUUAUGUCCCUGAGUAUCUGUCAAUUUCCCAAAGCUUAUUCUUUGCUUCAUUAGUCUUGAUUGAAAGAGCAGUAUGUCUGCUGAACUUAAUAAAACAUUUAUGACGUUUUUGAGCUUCAGGAGUAGCAUUGCCAUUUUCAAUGCCUAUCUUGGUUUCCAGAUACAUGUACAUGUUUAUAAGUACGUGUUCUGUCUACACUGGUACAUUUGUAACGCUUCCCCCUUCUUUGUCUUAUGCACUCACAUGACACUUAUUCUCCAUUGUGUCAUCAUCUACACCAGUAACCUCAUGACCCCAUCUUACAUCCCAAAGGUGAAGCUAAGUUCUUUCUUUCUUCCAUAUGUUUGUGUUUUUAUUGGUUGUACAUUUUGUGUGUGUGGUUAAUUGUAGUGUGUCUAUUACUUGGAAAACUCUAUACUCGUAGUGUAUGGCAUAUCCAAUUUGGGCCUGCAUUUUGGUUCCAAUCAGUUUUUUAUGGAAGUAUGUGCCUGUAGGAUUUAGAUCUCUUGCUUCAUCAGUCUUAAAGUCGGAUAUCUUUGUUGAAAAGCACUAGUAUUGUGCAUUUUUCUGCUAAAUGAAAUGUAUUGCAUUUAAAGCUCUCUUUCUCUGUAACAAGUUGUAUGUGUUAUUUAUGUUUCCCUUUGUGCAUAUUGCAGGUCAUAGAGUAAAGAGAAGCAGGCUGUCAUAUAUCUACUUAUUCAUAAGUCCAAGCUAAAGUUUGAGAGGAAGAACUGAAAGUAUGGCAACAUCAAAAUCAGAUAUGAAGGGCUUCUUCAAGCAAAAGAAGAAGUCUGGAGGCAUAACAAAGGCGAAGGCCAAAUCAUCAUCUACAAAGAAACUCUGUCUCCAAAGCGCUCAGCUACUUAUGGCUCUGACAUCACUCAACCUGCUGCUCUUAUUCACAUGGUUUUCCUGACAUUGAAAGUUAGAAUCUCUUUGUCGACAGAGCGCCCUUUAUCUAAGAUAACUCUGUUAUUGUUGUUUCUGAGUUCCAUGAGCUUGUUUCUGGGCUUGUUUCAUCUAUAGGUUCUAUUAGUCCAAGUUACAGAAAUAGCUAACUGCAUAUAUUGUUGUUCAGAUUAUGAUGAAAAAGAGGAAGUUCUCAGGCAAUUUGACAUGAACAUGGCAUACGGACCAUGCCUUGGGAUGAGCAGCUUGCUCGCUGGGAGCGUGCCAAAUCCUUGGGCAUGAAUCCUCCUGAAGAUAUAGGGCAUCUCUUGAAAGCUGGCAAAGUUGGAGCUGAAUGUUUGUGGGAAGGGCGUGUUUAGCCAGACCUUGCUGUCACCUUGUCGUGGUCUUAUAUAUUUUUCACUCUGUAAUGAUGUCUACUGUUGGAUGCUUAGCAAUGUACUGUACGUCUCAUAGUCAUGCUAGUCAUGUUUGUUCUUAACAGUCAGAAGACGUUCAGCAUCUGGCUGGACUAGUGUUGUGUGGCACCUGAUCGACCUGUCACUUGAAAUGCUUCCUUUUCAGAUUUAAAAUGUUGGUAAUCUUGUUUUGCUUUUGAUAGUUUUAACUUUUCAUUAUUCUAUUUAAGCCAUGACUUUUUCAUUUCA
rnacentral:lncRNA from 1 species